AUUAAAAGCUCUCUACAGAACUAGUACAUCUGCGUGGGGGGGGGCUUUAAAAUCAUUCAUAAAUUCUCCAAUUGCUGGUUGCUUGAGGGGUAACUUCCUCCAAUAUUCCUCUGACCUGUACCACCUCGAUGCGAACUCUUAACAUGACGGGUGCAUGUUUGUCACCAUUUAAGGAUUUUCUUAAAUUGCGAAUGAUUGUGCCAACAUGGAUUGUUACAGCAUCAGAUAUGAACCCACUUUUGAUCGAUGCUUUAAAAUUACGCUUAUAAUUCGAACUUUGUCAAUUCCUGGGGGCGUAAGUGGGCGUGUUUCUGAGAUCUAGGUUUAUAUGGACAGACAGAUAGAAGGAUAAGGCUAUAUCGCUUCAGCUGUUGACGCUGAUAUACUUUAUAGGAACGGAGAUGCCUCAAUAUGCCUGUUGCAUACAUUUCCUGCCGGGACAAAGUUAUAACACCCUUCUACCCUAUGGGCAGCGGAUAUAAAAACGUCCGUGCAAAGUUUUUGCGACUUCAUUUCGUUCCGCAGUUCCCAGCACAAAACAAUCGAUACUCCGGAUACUGGAAUGUAUGUAUGUAGAUGUCACAUCAGCACUUCCACAUUCGAAAUAAUAGAUAACCUAUUAUUCUGGACUCAUAUCGACAAAAUUAAGAGUAGCAUCAAGAACGAUAAUUUAAAAAAAGAAACAUAUGUAUGUUAUGCAUUUCCUCGAGAAGAGAAAUAGUAUAAAUUAAUAUUGUGGAGUCCCAACACU